UAGGACCCCUCCCAAGACUCAUAUAACCAUUCAGUAGUCUUCUAUGCCUGUUAAAAUCGGAGAAAAUGUAUGGCCUUCUAACUUCAGAAUUCUCCAGAGCAGCAAUGUCCAGUAAAGCUCUCUGUGAUGGUGGAAGAUUCUACGUCUGCACCUCCCAAAAAGGUGGCCAGCAGCACAGGUGGCUACUGAGCACCUGGGAAAUGUGGCUCAGGCAACUGAGAAACUGAGUUUUUUAUUUUAUUGGAUUUUGAUUCAUUUUCAUUUUAAUUUAUAUAGCCACCUGUUCUUUCGGUAGGUCUCCCAUGGGACACCAGGGAUGGCCCUGGAGGAGCUCUGCAGUCAGACUUGGGAAGUGGACCGAGAGCCCAGGGUCGCUGUGGGGACCCUCCUCCCAAGCCAGCUUCCCCAGAGACAUGCACUGGAAGAGGUCCCCAGGCCCCUGGGGCCAGGCUGAAGAGGCCCCACAAGUCCCUGCCCCUUUCCUCCUCAGUUAGGGGACAGGCAGUGGGGACAGGGCCCAGAGCACAGACUCACUCUCACUCCCCUGCAACCAUCCUGGUUUUCCCAAGCCCCUCACCCCGACCCCAGCGCCAGGGGUGACGUCUCAGCAGGUGACCUCUCUGCAGGAAGAGAGACCUGGACAAAGGAGGAGGGGGCGCAGGUGAGCCCUGAGGUCAAAAGAGGAGGGGGCGCAGGUGAGCCCUGAGGUCAGAGGAGGAGGGGGCGCAGGUGAGCCCUGAGCAGGGCGGGGAGGGUUGGCCCAGGAAAUUCCGUCUUGGCGGACCAGCCGGGAGGCCGAGCGAAAACCCUUACAGGGAAUUUACUUAUUUAUAGAAACUGGCGGUGGGUCAGACUGGCCCAAAGAUUUGGCCCCCCGCCGCGGUCGGCCAAGCCCUGCUCCACAUCAUCGCGUGGUGGAGAGAAACCGUCAGUCACCGAAUUCUCUCGAUUCUGCCUCCUACGUGCGUCUCAAACAUCCCACCUUUUCCAGCUGCACAAUCAUCAGGCCCCGACGCCAUCACUGAGUCCUGACCUUAUCCCACUUCCUCUGCAUCCAUGGACCCUGCGUCCAGCCUUGUGCAUCCUCAAGUCCAGGCCGAAUCCAGGAGCUGAAGUUCUACCCAAGUCACAAACUAACUCAUGUCGCUCUCCUCCUUAAAACUCUCGUUCCGAGUCUCCCGCGACCUCGGGGCCCCGCCCUCCCCGCAGCGUCCCCUGUGCCUCAGCCUCCCCGUCUGUCCUCGGCUCCUGGAGCGCACCAGCCUUGCACGGCCUGCCGGACGGCGCGCCUGGGACGGCCUCUCCAGUCUCCUCCUCGCCCCUGCUCCGCGGCCUGAGCCCUCGUCUGCUACAUCAACUCCUCCUCCAGGUUCAGACAUCUGCCCCUUUUGGGAUGUUCUUCCUGACCUCCCGCCCCAGUUCCCUGCCGCACGUUCCCAAGUCGCCCCCGUCACCGUUCAUCCGAAACGUCUUCCUGGCUGGAGCAAAACGCCCAUGGGGCCAGCGCUACGCUCUGAUCGGCCGCACGAGUCCCCCAGUCUAGGGCCCAGUUCCCCGAGGGCCCCCGACGAAGACCUGCGAACCUCCCCCCGCGCCCCCAGAACACCUCCGCAGAGCCGACCCCGAGGGCACGGGCCUGCGCACGCGCACACGCGCUCUGACGCCGCGAAAACGACUUCAAACGUCCGUUCACGGAACCCAAAUCCACACUAGACUUCAGAUGUCUCUAAGACACGCUAAUUCUUCCCAAAAUGACAAGGUAGGACAAAUCUGUUUGAAAACAAACACCUCACUCAUUAAAGUGAAAUCUGGCGUUUAAUUUUCCUUCCGGAAUUAAUUUUUUCCUCAUUUCUCGGCAGAAGUGAGCUUUAACCCUAUUAUUUAAAAAAAAUAAAUCCCAUUUAGGGCCAACUCACUUUCAAUUCUCAGUAGGGAACAGAGCUCACGUCACCUCUUUCUGAGGCCCGCCCGUCUGGAAGCUUCAGGGUGACGCACAGGCCGGGCUGAGGCGGGCGCCGGCGGGGAAGAACGAGGGGGCUGCGGCAGCGCCAGAGGCCGCUCCUCCUCAGACGCCCUCACCGCGCAGCGACGCAAGACUGCCGCCCGCGGCCCGAGCGAAAGCCACACAGUGAAGCGCUUUCGGGUGAAAGAAGGAAGGAAGGACCCCCGGCCCCCACGGGCCAGCCCGCGCCGCAGACCCGCAGGAGACGCACCUCACACCGCACCGCCCGAACGCCCGCCACGGGCCGCAGCCGCCCAGCACUUCCGCUUCCGGAAGCGGAAGUGGCCUGGGCUCAGGCUUUCGGGGCCCGAGGCGGCUCCGGCGGCGGCGGCGGCGGCGGCGAGGUGGAGCCGUUCUGGGUCCAGCCUCCGAGGAGAAAUUCUAGUUUCCUUAACCGAGGGAGACGGGCGGGCAUAUGAAGCACUCGGUGUUCAUGAGGGCUGCGUUGGCCGCCCACUGGGGACGCUGAUUUUGGCCCCACGUGUCUUCGCCCAAGAAGUGCCAUGGCCACCCUGCAGGCUACUUGGCGAGCUAUAGCUGUGGCCAAGUGUGCUGUCGCCUGUGUCUCCAGUGUGUCUCCAUAGGUCUGCAGGCUGCAUCUCUCGUCUGACAUACACUCGACAGAGCAGGCAUGUGUCAUUGAUCCAGGGCACCUCUGCCUGAGGACCCCUUGCUCAAACCUCAGCUCUGUCCUCAUGCCCACGUCAGCAGCAGGAAAGCCUGAUAUGGCAGAAAGAGAGAGAAAGACAUCUGAACAUCAUCUACCCAGGACUCAGCAUGGUCUGUCCGCUUGCCCUGAGUGUGUUAAUUGACUCCAUCUCUCGUCUUCUUAUCACUGUGUGUUAUAACUUUAUUUAGCAAACCCUGUGAUUCAAGCACUUCAGUUUGAGCCUCUCCAUUCUGUGACCCCCCAACAUGGCUCGCCUGGUGUAGUUGCAUUAAGGUAAUUUUCCACGUGACAGGCACAGACCCCACAGCCUAGGCACUGAUGUGGCCAGCCCUGGGCACUGGCUGCUAACUCUCCAUCCUCUGGCACUGCUACCCCAGAAAACCUUGUGUAGCUGCUGCUACCCUCACCAGCAUUGUUCCCACAAAAUUCUCUCUCUCGGCAUUGCUAGAUUGGGAUCCAAGUGAUGGGGCAUCUGCUUGGUGGAGCCUAGACCCGUGCGACAUGGGAGCCAAGGAAAGACAGGAUCUGACUUCUACAGUGAGAAUCACGGGAAGUGAGGCGAUGAGCUGGGCGGUCAAAAAAGAAGGACAGAUAUUCCCCACAGUCGAUCUGGUCUGCCAUCCUCCUCUCUGCUUGUACGCAGAUGAGGAUAAAUGGAAGUCUCAGUAUGAAUCCUGCCUGUGUCUAGGAGGUGAGCUUUUGUAUGAGUCAUUAUUAUUUCUUUGGACUCGACAGUAUUGUUUCAGAGGUAUGGUAGAAGGCCUAAAAUUAAGGUCCACUAUUAUGUGCUGCCUUGGCAUCUGGGGAAAACCAGGAUAACUUUGAAUGGCUCCCCACUCUACUCCCACAGAAAUGAUCCCCAAGCCGAACAGUCAUCUUUUCGUGGGGACCAGGCACAGUUCCUGCUCAUCCCGAAGCAGCAGGCUCCAGUGCCCUGGCAGCCUGCAGAGUUGCUCAAGCCGAUCACAUCCUCCCAUGGGAACCAGGAGGCACCUCACCCUCUUUUCCAGGCAGCGCCCGCUCUCCACCCGGUGCCUGAGUGCACCCGCACAGCCCUGCAUGGCUCGUGGUGUCCUCUUUCCCUGGGCUGUGAGGAAACGUGGCUGUCGGUACCAUCUGUCCAUUGUCGGGUGUCGUGUUCAACCAUCCCCAUAGCCCUCAGGCGUGAGCCCCUCCCUUACCGAAGAGAAGAGGAGGCGAUCCAUACAAGAGCGCAUAUAAAUCAUGAAUCUUUUUAAAGCACCAUUUGGCCAGAAUAAAUCAGAAUUGUUCAUGUGUUUACCCUUUGGCCCAGAUCCAGCAAAUUGCUCUAAGGAAAUAUUUGCACAGAAUCCCAGUGUUAACACGUGUGGAUGCUCACGCAGCAGCCUUUGUUUACGAGGUGAGGCGGGAAGCAGCCUAAGCGUCCGUCAGUAGGGGCCUCAUAAAUAAUUCCAUAUAGUGCGGUGUGGUGAAGUCAUUAAGGUUGAAGUAAUGUAUAUUUUACGAUAGCUGCUCAGACUCUGUCAGCACUGUGAGUUAAUUACACAGCAACAUCCUUAUUCUUCUCCCCUGAUGUUUGUCUGUUCCCAAGCUUGCUCUGCCCCAAUACCUGAUUUUGUUCCCUAAAACUAUGUCCAUGAAAAUGUAUUUUUUCCAUAAAUAAAUGAAAAGAAGAUCAAA
ensembl:lncRNA